GGGUCGGCGGUUCGGGUCGGGAGGCAGCUCUGCCGCAGCUUCGGGAAGAGGUGACACCGUCUCGCACCUGCACACAGGUCGGGCCGGGAGCUCGGCCCGACCCCUCCGACGAUCAAGUUAGAGAAAGAUGUGGAGGGGAUUGGGGAUGAGGCAGAAGAAGAGCCUCUGAGUGUUUUGUGUCUGAGUGAGUUCUCCCCCCUUUGCUUAGGACUCAGGGGUAUUUAUAGAGGAGGUUUGAUGUUACUUGACGUAGUUGUCUGCAGGGCAGGACUGUACCUUUGGUGGUGUCUGACAUUGCCACUGGGGCUGCGUGGGAGGCCGAGCUGCUACAGGGUAUGGCGAGCCUCGGGCAGUGUGUCGCUCAGGGGGUUGCUGUCAUGGCGUGUCACAUCGCCAUUUUUACCCCUAUCAUAUGCCCCCCCCGAAAGGAGCUAUGCGUCGGUUCUUGCAUGCAGGGGGUCCGAUGCAUGGCUUUUUACUUCAGGUGGGCUGGUCAUGCGGAUCCGAGGCGUACGACGCAG
rnacentral:lncRNA from 1 species